GCCAGGUGUGGUGGUGCAUGCCUGUAGUCCCAGCUGCUUGGGAGGCUGAGGCAGGAGAAUCACUUGAGCCCGGGAGGUGGAGGUUGCAGUGAGCCAAGAGCCAAGAUCAUGCCACUGCACUCCAGCCUGGGCAACAGAGUGAGACUCUGUCUCAA
rfam:Gorilla gorilla gorilla genomic chromosome, chr5, whole genome shotgun sequence